rnacentral:rRNA from 1 species
CCUACGGGUGGCAGCAGUGGGGAAUAUUGCGCAAUGGGCGAAAGCCUGACGCAGCGACGCCGCGUGAGGGAUGACGGUCCUCGGAUCGUAAACCCCUGUCAGCAGGGAAGAACGGUCACUGUGCUAAUCCGCAGUGAAUUGACGGUACCUGCAAAGGAAGCACCGGCUAACUCCGUGCCAGCAGCCGCGGUAAUACGGAGGGUGCGGGCGUUAAUCGGAAUUACUGGGCGUAAAGCGGUCGUAGGCGGUAUGUCAAGUCAAGGGUGAAAUCCCCGCGCUCAACGUGGGAACUGCCGGUGAAACUGGCAAACUGGAGUGGGUGAGAGGAAAGUGGAAUUCGUGGUGUAGGAGUGAAAUGCGUAGAUAUCUGGCGGAACACCAGUGGCGAAGGCGACUAUCUGGCACAUAACUGACGCUGAGGAGCGAAAGCGUGGGUAGCGAACAGGAUUAGAUACCCGGGUAGUC